ACUGUUAUCUGCUUAUUUCAGUGAACUAAUUGCAACACCUGGAAUCAAUUCUUUCUCAGCCACUGGGAAAUUACUGCAAUAUCUUUCCCCUGAGUUUACUGCUUUUAUACUGUUGACUGGUACAUAGAUUAACUGCAUACUCAAAUAUAUGAAAGACAAACAAGACGCAACAGGCUUUCGGAACCUCCUGUUUUCUUCCACCAUCAAGACAGAUAAUCUUAAAUGUCAGCAGUGAUGAGACUUCUGAGGGGAAUGAGUGACUCCACACCUCUAUUCUACCACUUCUGUGAAGCUUUAACACUCUGCGAAGAGGAGCUAUGGAGGUUCAUCUGCCAGAGUUUUGCUGCAUUUGUGAAAGCCUGUCACGAUAUGCUUUUGCUUGCACACUUGGAUGGACCCAGCUGAAGGGGCUGAGUUGCAGAAACUCUGCCCUUCUUGCUGUUUGGACAGAAAACAUAUAUGUUUUUGUGGUUUAAACCACAGCCUUGUCAUGCAUCUUAAUUAAAUUGACAAUGGGACAA